GUUUCAAGUUUGGUUUCACAGUGGGUGGCGCCUUGACCACUGCGUAUAUUUUCAAGACAUCUAGGGGAAAAAUAACUAACUUCGUAGAAUUUUUAUGGGUAUGUCAGCUGUCCCAUCAGCUGUUCUAUUUCUCGUGACUUCGGAGCUGAGGAUGGCUGCUGAUACGAAUGUCUCUGUUCUUGAAAUUUCACCACCGAUUCCGUGGGUUUUGAGCUAAAUCUUGUGAAUUCAAUCAAUGCAGAGUUGUUCAAGAUCUUUGGAAUGUACCUUAUGUACUAUGGUGGCCGCAGAAUCAAUCAGUCACUUGGUUCAAUCCAGGACUUGGUUUUUCAAAAGUCGUUAACAACCUUAAUUUGCAGAGAUCCUGGAGGUACCUGAUGUGUUGCAUUGGUUUUGGAGUUGCUCUGUGACGGAAUGGAAUGCCAUCAAUGUUAUGUUGUCAGUAUAAAUAAAACAUAUCCAGUAUCA